AAGUCAGAGCUACCUCACUGACUGCUGCUCUGUGCCAGGCACCACUACCCACCUGACAUGCAUGAACUCAUUUAGUCUUCACAACCGGCUCUACAGUUUACAUGCUACAGUUACUCCCAUUUUGCAGAGUACAAAACCAAGUUCAGAGAGACUGGAUAACCUACUCAUGGUUACACAGCGCUUAAUGGAAAGAACUGGGAUUUGAACCUAGGCAGUCUGGCUCCAAGGUACCUGCUCUUCACCACCACCAACGUCUGCUAAACUGCGAAGCCUGUGUACAGGACUCUGCCAGCCAGCACCACCUCAGGGACCCUCUAUUCUGCAGGUCAGCUGCACUCCCCAUAGGAAUCCCAUGCCCAGUAAUAGGGCUUUCCCCAAAGACAGGGCAGAGACCAUGGCCCUGAUAUGGAGCCCCCUCCUCCAUGCUAGUGACAGACCAGAGGACCAGCUACUUCUAGACCUUUAUUUCUCUGUGAAGGGGCGG